rnacentral:rRNA from 1 species
AUUGAACGCUGGCGGCAUGCUUUACACAUGCAAGUCGAACGGUAACAGGCCUUCGGGUGCUGACGAGUGGCGAACGGGUGAGUAAUGCAUCGGAACGUGCCCAGAGGUGGGGGAUAACGCAGCGAAAGCUGUGCUAAUACCGCAUGUGAUCUGAGGAUGAAAGCGGGGGACCAAGCAGCAAUGUUUGGCCUCGCGCCUCUGGAGCGGCCGAUGUCAGAUUAGGUAGUUGGUGGGGUAAAGGCCUACCAAGCCGACGAUCUGUAGCUGGUCUGAGAGGACGACCAGCCACACUGGGACUGAGACACGGCCCAGACUCCUACGGGGGGCAGCAGUGGGGAAUUUUGGACAAUGGGCGCAAGCCUGAUCCAGCAAUGCCGCGUGCGGGAAGAAGGCCUUCGGGUUGUAAACCGCUUUUGUACGGAACGAAAAGGCUCUGGCUAAUACCUGGGGCUGAUGACGGUACCGUAAGAAUAAGCACCGGCUAACUACGUG